CAGUCGCCGCGGGAAUACGAAGGGUGCAAGCGUUAAUCGGAAUUACUGGGCGUAAAGCGUGCGUAGGCGGUGAGUUAAGUCUGCUGUGAAAUCCCCGGGCUCAACCUGGGAAUGGCAGUGGAUACUGGCUCGCUAGAGUGUGUCAGAGGAUGGUGGAAUUCCCGGUGUAGCGGUGAAAUGCGUAGAGAUCGGGAGGAACAUCAGUGGCGAAGGCGGCCAUCUGGGACAACACUGACGCUCAUGCACGAAAGCGUGGGGAGCAAACAGGAUUAGAUACCCCCGUAGUCCCUGUCUCUUAUAC
rnacentral:rRNA from 1 species